GAUGAACGCUGACAGAAUGCUUAACACACGCAAGUCUACUUGAACUUCGGUUUGGGUGGCGGACGGGUGAGUAACGCGUAAAGAACUUGCCUCACAGUUAGGGACAACAUUUGGAAACGAAUGCUAAUACCUGAUAUUAUGAUUUUAGGGCAUCCUAAGAUUAUGAAAGCUAUAUGCGCUGUGAGAGAGCUUUGCGUCCCAUUAGCUAGUUGGAGAGGUAACGGCUCACCAAGGCGAUGAUGGGUAGCCGGCCUGAGAGGGUGAACGGCCACAAGGGGACUGAGACACGGCCCUUACUCCUACGGGAGGCAGCAGUGGGGAAUAUUGGACAAUGGACCAAAAGUCUGAUCCAGCAAUUCUGUGUGCACGAUGACGUUUUUCGGAAUGUAAAGUGCUUUCAGUUGGGAAGAAAAAAAUGACGGUACCAACAGAAGAAGUGACGGCUAAAUACGUGCCAGCAGCCGCGGUAAUACGUAUGUCACAAGCGUUAUCCGGAUUUAUUGGGCGUAAAGCGCGUCUAGGUGGUUAUGUAAGUCUGAUGUGAAAAUGCAGGGCUCAACUCUGUAUUGCGUUGGAAACUGCAUGACUAGAGUACCGGAGAGGUAAGCGGAACUACAAGUGUAGAGGUGAAAUUCGUAGAUAUUUGUAGGAAUGCCGAUGGGGAAGCCAGCUUACUGGACAGAUACUGACGCUAAAGCGCGAAAGCGUGGGUAGCAAACAGG
rnacentral:rRNA from 1 species